AACGAACGCUGGCGGCAUGCCUAACACAUGCAAGUCGAACGCCCUCUUCGGAGGGAGUGGCGCACGGGUGCGUAACGCGUGGGAACCUGCCCUUAGGUUCGGAAUAACUCAGAGAAAUUUGAGCUAAUACCGGAUAAUGUCUUCGGACCAAAGAUUUAUCGCCUUUGGAUGGGCCCGCGUUGGAUUAGCUAGUUGGUGGGGUAAAGGCCUACCAAGGCGACGAUCCAUAGCUGGUCUGAGAGGAUGAUCAGCCACACUGGGACUGAGACACGGCCCAGACUCCUACGGGAGGCAGCAGUGGGGAAUAUUGGACAAUGGGCGAAAGCCUGAUCCAGCAAUGCCGCGUGAGUGAUGAAGGCCUUAGGGUUGUAAAGCUCUUUUACUGGGGAUGAUAAUGACAGUACCCAGAGAAUAAGCUCCGGCUAACUCCGUGCCAGCAGCCGCGGUAAU
rnacentral:rRNA from 1 species